CACUUUGUGAUUCAUGACUGGGGUGAAGUCGUAACAAGGUAACCGUAGGGGAACCUGCGGUUGGAUCACCUCCUUACCUUAAAGAA
rnacentral:rRNA from 11 species